AGCCUCAAAGGACCGAGGCUAGUGGCUAGAAGUGAACGCCAAGGAAUGUUGCAGGACGCAGCAUCAUCAGGAUGAUGACCAAGGAAGCGGU
rnacentral:sRNA from 1 species